rnacentral:rRNA from 1 species
UACGAAGGGAGCGAGCGUUGUUCGGAAUCACUGGGCUUAAAGCGUGCGUAGGUGGAUUGGUAAGUAAGGAGUGAAAUCCCAGGGCUUAACCCUGGAACUGCUCUUUAGACUGCCUGUCUGGAAUUCGGAAGAGGCUGGUGGAACUCCCAGUGUAGAGGUGAAAUUCGCAGAUAUUGGGAAGAACACCGGUGGCGAAGGCGACCAACUGGUCCGACAUUGACACUGAGGCACGAAAGCGUGGGUAGCAAACAGG